GGAUCACGCAUCUUACGGCUUGACGAUCAAGGGGGGAAAGCCUGGGUCUUCAUAGAAAAGGAGAGGAGGCAAACGCAGCCCAAACUGGGGGGUUUCUCUUCAAAGCCAGCUGGUCUGGCUUUAUUCUACAGGAAUUUUUUUACCUGUCAGAGUUUGGACAACAAAGCCCUCAGCAGGUGCUGACGGGUACAACUUCCUGGAGAAGCAGAAAGGCACUGAAAACUUUGGAAGAGAAGUUCAUCUAAAGGAGUAACACGAUGAUAGUGAAGUGAGUUGUUGGAGUGGCUGCGUCCUCUGACAGAACAUAGUCCAGGAGAAUUGUGGGACAUGAAGAGGCUGCUGAGGAAGAAAAGGACCUUGAGAGUCACAUCAGUGAAAGGCCAUGAGGAGACAGAGGCACUCAAUAAAGAGCUGUUAUUGAUUUUACAAAUUGCUGCUGGGUGAGUGGAGCAUGCCAGAGGGAAGGAAGGACAAGUUGAAGGUGAGGAUAGGGAAGUUGAUGAUACAAAGGCAAAUUUCAGCAGCCUUACACUGUUGCCCACACCACACAGAUAAGAUCAAUGUAGAAGGACUUAAAAACUCAGACUUACUAGGAAGCCACUAAUUCUAUAUAUUUAUGCUAAGGUUCCUUAAAUUUAAGUGUAAGAUUAUGUAAUCAAUAAGCAACUUAGAAGAUGUCUGAUGUAACUAAAAAAUAAAAUCUUGGAGCCCUAUUCUGGACAAAUGGAUAUAUAAUUAUUUUCAUAAGUCUGAUAAAAUCAAAUAUGAAUACAAAAAGAAAGUUUCUCUGCAAAGAAUAUUAUAUGAACACUGACAAGGAUAAUAUACAUUGGCAACUCCACAAUGUAAGACUUCUUGGUAUAAUAUAUAUUGGUUUAAUCAACAUAUAUAUUUUAUAUUUAUUUCAAAUAUAAAAUGCUCUAUUAUGAAAUAAAACUGCUUUGAAGCGUGAAAGCUGAUCGAGAAGAAGACAUCUGCUAAAAUAUUGUUAGAUAACUGAGCUAUUGAGAGGUUUUUCAGGAAUAUGGGAUAGCCUUGAAAGUGAAACAGUACAAUGAUAGCUAAUAUUUAUUAAGCAUUUUCCACUUGCCAGGCACUAAACAGCUAUAGGAAUACAAUUUCAUGUCCUCCUCUCAGCAAAAUUAUCAUCCUGGGGAGGUCCUGCCACUUUCCCCAUUUUACUACAAGGAUAUUUACAAAAUUAAACUCACGUGGUUAUUAAGCGUCUGAGCCUGGAAUCUAACCCAGGGUCUCUGAUUGACCCUUUCCUCCCUGCUGUGCAUUCUUUGAAAAGGUAUUUCCCACGGUGUUCCCACAUGAUGUGUAACUUUUAAUUAGUGAAAACGACUUUUUAAAAAAUUAUCAGAACUUUUGAGUGUUACUCGCCAAAAUAUCUCCUUAAAGGCUACAAAUUCCCAUCAGGAACACCUGUGAAAUGCCUCUUUUGUAUCUUCCAUUAGUGUCAGUUUAUGAGCCAGUAUCAAAUAAUCUGCUGCUCCAUAACCACAUCACAGCUUCCAUCAAGCACCUUUUUCACUACAUUUGGUUUGGAUUUUGUUUCAGCAACCAAUUCAUCCCUAAUUAUAAUGAUUUGCCAACAAUGAGACUGUUAAGACUGCAUAGCAAAUUCCUAAGGAGAUUUCUAUAGACACUCCCGCAGACAACAUUACUGAGAAGUCUAUCUAAAAGUCUGUCUAAAGGUUGUUGUUUGGAUAAAAAGAAAUAAAGUUUGUAAGGCAGUUAAUACAACUAAAUGAACUAACGCAGUUAAUAGUGAGUGGCCAUUAAAUGUUAGGCACUUUGAACUCAUCUCUUUCAACCCAUAUUCUAAUAAGAUAGAACUAUUUUUGCACGUAUACUACAAAUAUCAUUGUAUUGCAAAUAUGAAUAUUGAUAUAGAAAUAUUUAACUACAAAUUUAGUUAAAAACAUUACUAUUUAUAGGCAAUCCGACCUUUUUGGUUUGUGUCUUUGACUCAAUGAACUAGUAUACACAGAUAAAACAAACUGGUUUUAAUCACCGACUUAAAUUUAAAGUUUUAUUGCAUUUUACUUUUAAUUCUCCCCAUAUUCCAAAUCAUCUGGAGAGACUUCAUCUUAAACCAUGAAAAGUAAUUCUAUCUUUCCCUAGUAAGUUAAAAUAUGCAUAUAAUUAUGUAUCUCCUUAUUUUUAAUUCUAGUAUGUACUGGAAGUAUAUAAAUAUAUGCAUGAUCUUGCCUUCUUGAAAACAUGAAAAUUUUAUAUUAUUUUGCUUGGUGUGAAAUUUCAAAUUAUAAAUAAAAUAUUUUAGAAAUAAUUUUGUAAGUUCUCAGCUAAGUAAAAUACCAUCAUUUGGAAAAAUUACCUAAAGAGAGGAAAAGAGGUACAUUUUGCUGUGUGGUAGCUUUAUUCUCUCUUUUCUAGACUUCUUUGUCUUAACUUGGUGUUCUUAACAAGGAGAGUUAGCACGAAUAUCAGAUACAAAUUGUUUAACAUUCUCUGAGUCUGUUUUUUCCUGUAACACGUACUUGUAGCAAUCAUGAAAUCAAUAGGAAUCAUGCACAUCCUAACUGGGGACUUUACUAAAAAAAUGUAAAACCAAAAAUGCAAAAUGUCUAUGGCUUCUGUUUGUCAAGAAUUGGUAAAGAGUCCCCUAGAUAUAGCUGUAAUGUUGAGCACGCAUGCCACACAGAACGACUUCUAGGUCCCUCUCGAACAGAAUGCUCCAUUAGGCAUUCCACGGGCUCCCCCUUCCCAGCAGGCCUCUGCCCAGCCCAGUUGCCAUAGAUGGCCGUCAGACACUUGGAAUGACAUCAGGAGAUAAUCUGAGCAGGCUCUGCCCUAAAGAAUUCAAGCUAGCAGGAGACUGAAGAUAUCGAUGUCUUCUUGGCUGACAACAGCAUUCCAAAGGUCAACCAGGGUGAAAAGAGGAUGGACUUGGAGCUUCCAGUGCCUUUUCAACAACCAAGCAGCUAAGAAGUAUAAGGAAGCUUCCCUGAAGGAAAAAAUAAAUAAAGACAAAAGAAGCCUGAAAGUAUCCUAAAGGUGCCAUGGCUAUGAAAGGAAAAUAAGGCAAGCUAUUCCCAUGAAGUCAGAGAAUUUUAGGACUGAUGACAUCUCUACUUUUUCAAGGUAAAACUCACCAACAGUUCUCAUCCUGAACCAAUUCCUACCACUCUGACAACCUACUUCUCCAACAUUUUCUGCUGUGACAGCCCCAGGAUGGGUGAAUAUGGAACUUAUCGGUAUAGAAGUAGAAAUUCUUCAGGAGAAUAAGCAUGGCUAACUUUCGCUGCAGUUUUCCACUUUUCCAGCCCCGUGCGCUACGUUAAAUAGCUGUUUUAAUCCUCGUAACAAAGUUUCGAGAGUAUGUUCCACAUUUUACAGAUGAAGGAACUGAGGCAAAGGGAAGUUCAGAAACUUCUGUAUAAUCCUACAGCCACCACAUGAUAGAGCCAACUGGCUCAGCCACACGGCUUCUUCCUAUGAGACCAGCCUUUUCACUAGGCAGCCAUGGAUGGGUUGAGGCUUCUACCUCAUCUGUAAGCACUUGAAGAAUUAAAAAAUUUUCUCUUAGGUUAUUAGAUUUCAGACAGAAUGAGAACACCUUCUAUCACGAACCACAUGCAAAUCGUAACUUAGGAGAAAGACAAUAAUUCAAAUAUGCAUUGGCUCAGGAGAAAUCCAAGAUUUAAAAAGCAUUUUACUGUUAUUGUUUUAAAAUUAUUUAUCAUUCAUGAGUAUUCUUAUCUGAACGCUUAAGGGUCCUUACUAAGGGUUAACUUAAAAACUAAUUACCAUAAAUGGCCAGAAUUAAUACUGACAUUUCACCUCCAGAUAACAAUAAGAAAUAUAAGGGAUAACCAUGGCAAAAACCAACCAACCAAAUAAAACACUGAAGUUAGAAAGUUUCUGCUUUGUCUCUAAGUCUUUAUGAUAUGUUCUGUCGCCUUAUAUGUCUCAGACAGUGUAAUCUGUAAUGAAGUUUUGUUCAAGUUUUUAACAUUUCUGGUCAAAUGCCGCCUGAGUGAUAUCAGUCUAAGACAUAAUGAAUGGAUCUGAUAAUAUGUUCAUCGAAUUUGAGGAAGAUUAUGCUUUGCUAACAAUUCUCACCUCGUGGAACACCUUUCCUCCCUGACCUUAAGAGUGUUUAGUUCUUACUUUAAAAGGAUAAUUCCAUUUCCUCAGAAUCUGUUAAGUUUAAGUAAGCACAAUGUCAUCCCAAUUAGUCGCUUUCAAAAGGCAUUAUGUGAAUCUGUGACACUACCAAUAAGACAUCUUUAGUUUGGGAGAGAGUGUUAUCCCCCACGCACCUUCUUCUUUAUUAAAUGGGAUUUCUUCCUGGAGGAAUGAUUAGAUAUAUUUCCUCUUGCAAAAGAGCACUUUUUUGUCUAAAAUCUUCUGUCAGGUUACCUUUCUGUAAUUUGCCUAGCCGAUCCCACACAAGGUGCCCCGGGCUGGCACAAAGUGUGGCAGACCCUGUCAGGUGACCUUAGCUUCUUUCCAAAUUUAUGGCAUGAUUUUGGGAUGCAUCUCAACUUCUCUGAGCCUGACUUCCUUUCUCUGUAAAAGAAAAGUAGGUGCUUGUGUGUCUUCCCUAAGACCUCUUUCAGCAGGAAAAUACUGAAAUUCUGACUUUAAGACCUUCCACACCAGUGCCAAGCAAUGCAAAUGCAGCGAGUGUCCUAAAAUUUGGCUGGUAUCAUAAGGGCGCUUCUUUCUUUUUUUCUAACCAGCAUUCACUUAAACUCUAUAGCAGCACAGUCCAGUAGAACUUUAUGCAAUGAUGGAAAUGUUCAACAUCUCAAGUCGAAUAAGGUGGCCACUAGCCGGCCGUGGCUAUUGAGCACUUCAAAUGCGGCUAGUGUAAUUAAAGAACUGAACUUUAAGUUUUAUUUAAUUUUGAUUAACUUAAAGAGCCACUUGCGGCUAGCCGCUGCCAUAUCAGUAGCAGCUUAGAGCUUCAAGAACAUGACAAUACAAACCCGAGCACUCUACGAUGCCUCUGGAGCACAGAUCUUUCGCCCACCCUUGGUACAGCUCCACAGACAGAUCACAGAACAGCACAGGCAUUUGCAUUUAGUGAUGGCAUUUCGGCAAGAGAGCCAGGCACUGCUCUCGCGUGCUAACAAAUAAAGGGGGGUGGAAAGGGAAAGGAAGUUUUGGGGGGUUUUGUGGGUUUUCUCCCUAGUAUCCCAAUUCUCCUUGUAGUUUGUGGCCUUUCCCCAGCCAAGACGCGCACAUAUCCACAGAGGGAGCUGAACUACUAGAGCCAGCGAUUGGCUGUUAGUUUUUAAAAUAAUCCUGUAAACCCUGAGCGCUUGGGCUAUCAAAUCCAGCCACCCGGGACCCGUCCUUUCCUCUAGGCCUGUCAGGUGAAACAUCAGGCAGGCUGGCGCGGGACAGGGGCGGCGGCCGGACCUGCGCGAGCCACUCUCGUUCUCCUAGGCUCGCAAAACGCUCGCAGCACUGCGGGCAGCCUGUGCCGCCGGAGGCGGAGCGCGUGCCAGCGCUUUGUGCACUGUGCGGGGGUGGGUUCAUUAUGUGCCUCGCUCCGACCUCAUGCCCUGCUCUUUGAGAUGGUCUUUCGCCACCCUAGGGGAAACAUCCCCAAGAUCCCCAAACCCGACCAGCACGGCAACUCCCCUGACACAGCCACCGCCCGUUUCCAAAGCCCACCCACCACCGCUGCGCCCUCCUCCCUUCCCCAAGAGACCACCACGCGGCCUCUUCGCAAAGCCACCGGCCGCUUUCCCCCAAACCGUGACCCGACCUUUCUAGACACAACCCGGCACCGCGCCCCCGCCCCUCCCCGCGGCCAGACAGCCCGGCCCUCCCUCCGCGCCCCCAGGCCCAGCAGGCCCCCAGCAAGGCCCCGAGCCGCCUCCUCCUCG
rnacentral:lncRNA from 1 species